AUAAAUUAAUGGUGUUAAAAUAAAUAAGGGGGACCCAUUUCCUUAAGAAGAAGGAACUUGAUGUGAACAGUCUAAAAUGAUUGCAUGAAAAAGGGCGGGUGUAAGAGAUAUAUUAUUUGGUGGUUACCAUACAAAUUUGUCUUGACAAUGUUUCAUUUUCCCUGAUUUACCCAACCAUUUAUGAAACGUUUUCAUGGCAAACUCUGAAUCUCCUUUAGGGGUAUUUUGAGAGAAUGAGGAGAGAAGAGGUGCAUGUGUCUCACACAUUUUUCUUACAAUGGCUUUGCAGAGGCUUACCAGAGCUUUUAAAAAUAAUUGAGAAUGUAAAAUUGUCACAGAGACUGUAGAGGAAGGGUAAGGAGGAGUAGACUUAUAGCUGAAGUGGCUUUGUAAACGCAGUCUCUGCUUUGGGGUUGUUUUUUAAUAUGUGCCAGGCAUUCCUCUGAUUUCCAUCCUGAUUUGGUUGUGGCUAUCUGUCUGUCUGUGUGAGGCUUGGGUGUUGCCUGUUUAAAAGCCGGAGUUGUCUCAGCCUGGGCGUUUUCUGUUUCGGCUUAUGGCUCCCCCCCCCCCUCUUUUCCUGAAUGAGUGUCCUUUGUAUAACCCCAGUAAUUCAGAAAUCCUGCAGAGGGACUGCCCUGUCAUGUGACUUGGGUACUAGGUGCUGCCUGUGAUUGGUCAGCAGCUAAUUGGCAGGUCCCUAUAAGAGGUCCCACUUCUGGAGUCAGGCCACUCUUCUGCCUGGGCUGCUACUCAAUGGGCGCCAGAGGGUGGAGAGGGACGGGUGUCCAGUGAUUCAGCCACAUGUGAUAGAUGACCAAGUGACUGCUUGCUUGGAGUCCGUGCAUCAGUGGAAGACACCCAACGGGUGGUGGCUGACUUGAUCAAACUCUGGCUUCCUGAACUGGAAUGAAAUGCAGAUAACCCUUUAGAAAACUUUUGUAGGAAAGCACCUCGUGUGAUCUGGAACAAAGACAUUAUAUAAUCAGAUUUAUCAAGCUGUGAAGAGGGAGUUUUAGCGAACAGAAGCAGCAUUCUGUCACCAGGAAAUACUGCUUUAUCCAGAAUUGCUUUCAAAGACAUAGACAAAGAGCAAGAUAAGCAUGGCCUUUAGGGGCAGGUCCUCCAAUAAAUCAGAUCGAUGAUGCAAGUGUGAAUAUUACAAUUAUUUGACUUAAUUAAGGUGUGGCUGAAGAUGUGGAAAAAGUCUACUCAUUUCCUUGAAGCACAUGAAUUUAUGGGUUUUAGAGUCUUGAAGACAGAAAAAUGGUGAUGAAGAAUUAAGAUAUUGACAGGUAAUUUACAUCCAACUCCUAGUUGUAUGCAGUGAUUCACAAGUAUUUUCAGCUCUAUUUCAUGUAAUUACUUGGGCAAAAUAUGAUGAUUUAACAAUCUAGCUAAAGACUGCCAUGCUUAAUGGAAAAAAAGCCUCUAUAUAAUUUGUAGAUUUGACUCAUCCAUUUAGAAUCCAUUGUCGUGAAUGAAAAGACAAAAACAAAAACUGAUAGAAGCAGGCUGAAACAGUAAAUGCUGGAAAGUAUUUUCCAGAAUAAUUCUUUUAGAUCUUUAUGAUUUCAGUCCUGUUUGCUGUGCUGUUAUUUACAAAAAUAUAUGAAAAAUAAAUAACAUGGCAUUGUCCUGAAUUCUCCACUGGUGUUAUUGAAAGUAUUAAUAUCGUGUAUACUCUGUAAACAGUGUGCAUGUGUCUUUGUCAUUAUCGGUAUGUAAAGAUACAAACUAAAAGGAAUCUGGCCAAGUGACAGACCUCAAAUUAGUUCCUCCCAAAUUGUAUUUGGUAUUUUUAUAGUCAGAAAUAGAAAGGCUUUCCCUUUGGGCUUGUUUCUUACAUUUUUGAUGUGGUGUACCUUUUUGCCCAAUUUUUCAAGGUAUGUAUAUGUAUGUGUUUAUAUACUUGAUUGGAAGGGGGAGCUUUAAUUGCUAGCAAAACAAGUGGGUGUUUGUUAGAACCUAGAUAAGCCUCAUAGUGUUGUUCCUAUGACAACUGAGGGGUUGGGUGUUGAAAUGUAGCUUUAAGUUCUCAGUUUGGAAAUGUCAUUCAGACCUCCCACCACAGUCUUAUUGAGUAGGAGGAUAAUGAGAAGGGGGGGAAAAGCCACGAAGCAACAUAAGUAUCUCCAUUCUUUUCAUGUCUUCCUGACUUGUCUUUGUGUAUGGAUCACCAUGGGGGUGGUAAACCCUAGGUCUUGAACAAAGCAAUGCUUCAGUAUAAAAUAAAUGGAAAGAGGUCAAAAAAGUUGGGGAAGAUAAAUAACAAACAGGGGUAAUAGGCAGAAGAAGUCUUUUAUCCAGCGCGGACCAGCAGUGAGACCAUCUUGAAUGAGUUACUGUAUAUCUCUUCAAGAGCUGCAAAUAUUUCCUUAAAAUGCAAUGUGGAGAAAAUUCCUUUGGAAGCAGGAUAGUUUACCACUUUGGCAUAAUGCUUAUUUAUCUCCCUUAGGCUGAUUACAGAGGACAUUAUUCUUUUAAGGUACAUGCUUUUAAGUCAAUUAUUUCUCAUUUAAUAGCUUGUCUUUUUUUCCUAUGGGAAAGAUCAAUCAUGCUAUUAAAAAGUGGUAAACUUGGGUAUUUUACCCUAUGUUCAAAAAUUACUUGAAAAAAAACCCUUAAAGACUGUUAGAGACUGGUUGUUUGUGGAAAUGAUUUGGUUGACUGAGAAUCUUAUGGCACACUGUAUUGGGGGGCAAAGGUUGUUUAGACUAAUUUUGGGGAUCGAUUAGUUAUGCAGUGUGGAUUUUCCAUGCCUAAAGGGCUUCCUACUUUCUACUCUUAAAUGGUUUUUACUAUUUAUUUGGUCAUUAGCAUAUCCAGAAGUUAGAAAGGAAAAAUAGACUUCAGUGGGUUUUACCCCUUACUUAAUAUAUAG